AUUACAACUUUCAACAACGGAUCUCUUGGUUCUGGCAUCGAUGAAGAACGCAGCGAAAUGCGAUAAGUAGUGUGAAUUGCAGAAUUCAGUGAAUCAUCGAAUCUUUGAACGCACAUUGCGCCCCUUGGUAUCCCGAGGGGCAUGCCUGUUCGAGCGUCAUUUCACCAUUCAAGCCUGGCUUGGUGUUGGGCGACGUCCCCUGUGGGGACGCGCUUCGAAACGCUCGGCGGCGUGGCACCGGCUUUAAGCGUAGCAGAUCUUUCGCUUCGAAAGUCGGGGCCCCGUCUGCCGGAAGACCUACUCAAGG
rnacentral:rRNA from 1 species